rnacentral:rRNA from 1 species
UUCCGGUUGAUCCCGCCGGACCUGACUGCUAUCGGAUUGAUACUAAGCCAUGCGAGUCAUUGUAGCAAUACAAGGCAGACGGCUCAGUAACGCGUAGUCAACCUAACCUAUGGAUGGGAAUAACCUCGGGAAACUGAGAAUAAUGCCCAAUAGAACACUAUACCUGGAAUGGUUUGUGUUCCAAAUGAUUUAUCGCCGUAGGAUGGGACUGCGGCCUAUCAGUUUGUUGGUGAGGUAAUGGCCCACCAAGACUAUUACAGGUACGGGCUCUGAGAGGAGUAGCCCGGAGAUGGGUACUGAGACACGGACCCAGGCCCUAUGGGGCGCAGCAGGCGAGAAAACUUUGCAAUGUGCGAAAGCACGACAAGGUUAAUCCGAGUGGUUUCUGCUAAAGGAACCUUUUGUCGGUCCUAGAAACACCGAUGAAUAAGGGGUGGGCAAGUUCUGGUGUCAGCCGCCGCGGUAAAACCAGCACCUCAAGUGGUCAGGAUGAUUAUUGGGCCUAAAGCAUCCGUAGCCGGCUCUGUAAGUUUUCGGUUAAAUCUGUACGCUUAACGUACAGGCUGCCGGGAAUACUGCAGAGCUAGGGAGUGGGAGAGGUAGACGGUACUCGGUAGGAAGGGGUAAAAUCCUUUGAUCUAUUGAUGACCACCUGUGGCGAAGGCGGUCUACCAGAACACGUCCGACGGUGAGGG